rnacentral:rRNA from 1 species
AAUGAACGUUGGCGGCGUGGAUUAGGCAUGCGAGUCGUGCGAGAACCGUAGCAAUACGGGGACAGCGGCGAAAGGGAGAGGAACACGUGGAUACCUACCCUCAGGUUCAGGAUAGCUAUGGGAAACUAUAGGUAAUACUGAAUAAUAUCUCCGGAUCAAAGGUGUGAUUCCGCCGGAGGAGGGGUCCGCGUCCUAUUAGCUAGUUGGUGAGGUAAUGGCUCACCAAGGCGAAGAUGGGUACGGGAUGUGAGAGCAUGAUCCCGCUCAUUGGGACUGAGACACUGCCCAGACACCUACGGGUGCUGCAGUCGAGAAUCUUCGGCAAUGGGGGAAACCCUGACCGAGCGACGCCGCGUGUGAGAUGAAGGCCUUCGGGUUGUAAAGUCACUGUCGUAGAGGAGGAAGUGUAGGUGGGUUCGUCCCACUUAUUUGACCUAUUCUUAGGAGGAAGGACGGGCUAAGUUCGUGCCAGCAGCCGUCGG